rnacentral:rRNA from 1 species
CCAGCCCGCUCAGAAACUACAAAGGAAGUUGACGGGGCCCGGCGACAAGCGGUGGAGUAUGUGGUUAAUUCGAUGCAACGCGAAGAACCUUACCUGGUCUUGACAUCCCGGAGACCCUUAGGAAACUAGGGGUGCUUCCAUCUGGAAGAAUCUGGAGACAGGUGCUGCAUGGCUGUCGUCAGCUCGUGUCGUGAGAUGUUGGGUUAAGUCCCGCAACGAGCGCAACCCUUGCCUUUAGUUGCCAGCAGUUCGGCUGGGCACUCUAAAGGGACUGCCGGUGUUAAACCGGAGGAAGGUGGGGAUGACGUCAAGUCCUCAUGGCCUUUAUGACCAGGGCUACACACGUACUACAAUGGCCGAUACAAAGGGCAGCGACACUGCGAGGUGAAGCCAAUCCCGUAAAAUCGGUCCCAGUCCGGAUUGGAGUCUGCAACUCGACUCCAUGAAGUUGGAAUCGCUAGUAAUCGUGGAUCAGCAUGCCACGGUGAAUACGUUCCCGGGCCUU